ACCAUGGGAAUCUACCCCAAAAACCAAGAGCACACUUCACACACACUGUGUUACCAAUUUGACAAUAAAUUAUAUUAGAAAAAAAUGUACUUUGCAUAUGCUAUGUGCCAGGCAUUGCUCGAUUAUUCUGAGUGCUUGGGUUAUAGUAGAGACCAAAGGAUACAAAAUGUCUGUUCACAUUGUGUUUAUUGCCUCGUUGAGAAGAUAUGAAACAAGCAAACAUUUAUAAUGUGUGUGUGUGUGUGUGUGUGUGUGUGUGUGUGUGUGUGUGUGUGUGUAAUGGGUUGGUGAUAAGUGCUAUGAAAGCCAAAGCGUGGUAAGGAGGUAGAGAAUGACAUGCGGGACGGGGACGGAAUUGUGAUGUUAUACACAGUAGUAGAGGAAGUCCUCUUUGAGCUGAAUGUUGAGCAGAAGCAGAGAAAUGAGCAGAUGACAGUGUUCCACACUAACAUCCAGAGGAAGACCAUUUCGGCCAAGGGAAUACAAAUGUGCAAAGACCUAAGAUGGGUUGUGGUUGACGUGUUCAAGGAACGGUAAUGGAAACCAGUGUGACUGGAGUGGAGUGAUUGAUUAUGGGGUGGGGUGGGGACUCGGGUAAGGAAAUCGUUGAUAUCACAGAGCUCCAAAUGGGCUUGGAGUCGUGUUAAGGACUUUUAUUAUUAUCACCUUGUAAUCAAGAUGGGAAUACCCAGGAGAAUUUGAGCUGAAGUGCACCAUGCUCUAAUGUACGGCUUCCUUGCGGGCACAGAAAUUCUGCGGUAGCAGGGAGGGAAGCAGGGAUAUCAGUUGGGCAACUGUAGAAGCAGUCAAGAAGGGUUCAUGCUGACUUGGACUGAGACCGUGAAAGUGAAGGUGGUAAAAAGUGGUCAAGUUGGAGAACUGUGGUCGGAAGUUCAGCCAGUACUAUUUAUUAAUGGAUUGGACUGGAAAUGGUACACCAGAUAAGACAGGAGUUGAGGAUUCCAGACUUGUGGCCUGAACAAGUAGAAUAAUGGAAUUGGUCUUCCCAGAGAUGGAACAGAUUGAGAAGCAAGGCUGUCGGGGAGCGUCUGGUGUACAAUCGUCGAUCGCGGAUUUACCUCAUUAGGGAUCUGCCCAGUUGUGUAAAAGCCCUCACAGCAUUAUGGUUAGAAUAAGAUAUAUGUUUAUUCCUCUUGGCCUUCAUAUCCUUGAGGUGAGAGGGGCCAUGCUGUCUGUCUGGUUGUUCAGGCACCUAGGUUUCUUCCAUCUUGUUGCUCUAGGGCCACCCGAGGGGGAUCACCACACUCAGACUUGAAGCCGGGCCACUGCUAUGUUGGAGGUCCAUCCUGUGGGGGGGGAGGGGAGGGGGCAAGAUGAGGUCUGAGAAAGCAUGGAGCUUCACCCUCUUCUCAUGCUCUCGCCCAUAACUCAGCUACAAGGAAAGCUAGAAAAAGUGAUCUCUGUAAAGGUAGCCACCCGUCCGGUACAAAAUUGGUCAAGGAUUCUCUUCCUGAAAUGUAGAGAACGAAACUUCGGGAACGCUCCGCCAUAUUUGUCUGUCUCAUAAGCGGCUUCUGGUCAGGAACCACGGAUGUUCUCUGUGACCCCAGUAUUUACUUCGGUGCCUGCACAUAGCACACAUUUACCACAUGUUGGCCUCAUUAAAAUGAAGUUAAUUACACAGGACAGAGAUUAGUAUACACUUGAUAGUGUGUGUCCUCCUGUAAACUUUUGAAUUAAUCUUAUAACUCAUUUUUCAUAUUGCAGGCCACAUGUUUAAUGUGUAUUUAUCACUAACGGAGAAAAACUAGCAUUUCAGUGAUCUUUCAGGCUGUGCCUUAUAUUUAGUGGUUAUCCAGGAUAAAGAAAUUAGGAUGAGCGAGUAUUUAUGUUUUUUUUUUUUUAAGAGUAUUUACCUCACACAUUUGCUUCCAGAUAGCAAUUCCAGAGAUCACACUUCAUGGUGAAAGAAUGAGUCACAUCCAUAUAAUCAAAUUGCAUCACCCCUUCUGAGCUGCUAAUUCUCCAAGCCUCACCUAACGUCCCACUGAAGGCACAUGUUGCCUCUUUUCCCCAGCACUGUGUAGCUUACAAGUUAGACAAGUGUAUUUGGGUUUAAAGAUGUUUUUAUACAAGAUUCAUAAACCCUGUAACAUUAAAAAGUACAUUUUGGAAUAAGGAAUCGAAUCCGAAGAUAACGUUUCGUAAGAAAACGAAUUGGAAAGAGAGUAUUUUAUAAUCGGCCAACUGUAAAUUGGCAUACAGGGCAUAUUAUGUCCCAUCUGAAAAAACUUGAAGCUGGGUUAUCAACAUGAAAGAAAAAUAGUUCCUAUUUCUUGAUAAUUUGCUCUUGGGAAAAUUGGCCCUAUCUCCUGUCCAGGAUCUGUUCGUGUGUAUAUAUCUCGAUAGGUCAGUCUGUUUGUGGAACCACAUGCCAUGUUCCAGACCUCUCCCGUGGGAGUGAUGGAAUUCUUGUGUAUUUAUUUGCACAUCUGCAAGCCUGUGUAUCAAACAUGCUUUCUUAAUUUAUUGGUAGAAUUUUAUAGUUGUAAAUAUUAAAUGAAGACAUGGAUUUUAAAGAACAUCUAUGGUCUACCAGAAUCUCAGGUUGAUGUGAGUAGAAACCUUGUGGGGUGUUCCCCAGAGCCUAGUGGGGCCCAGCACAUAGUAAGUGUUUCAUUUAUUUAACAAAAAAUAAUUAUUAGUCUAAUCUUGUUUGAAUGUUAAAUAUCCUUCCCAACACCAAAGCUUCACAGUUUAUUUUAGGGAAUCUAUACACACACCUACACACAUGUAAAAACCUCUCUCUCUCUCUCUCUCUCUCUCUCUCUCUCUCUCUCUCUCUCACACACACACACACACACACACACACAGCUAUAAUAAAUUCCCUUUAAAUCUAGAAUUAUCUUCUUACAGGUAAUGAAAAUUGAUAAAUUAUUUUAGCUUCUGAAAAUUUUAAGAAGAUAUUAAACAUUUAGUUCUGAAAAGUACUUGUUUUCCUUCUAGAUGAGACUUUUAUUUAAUUUUUUAAAUCUCCUAUGUUUAGUCUUUUAAGCUUUCUGACUCCUCUGUUGAAAUUUAAUAAGCCACAACUUUAAAAAAUUUUUUGUUUGAUCUAGCAAAACAUCAUUUGGACUGUGCAAACUUCAGAUUAAGAUCCUUAGAGGUGGGGUGUGUGUGUGUGUGUGUGUGUGUGUGUGUGUGUGUGUGUGUGUGCGCGCGUGCGUGUGUGUGCACGUACACAUAUGUAAAUUCUCAACUUUCCGAAGAUGACAUUUUGGAGGGCAGUAUACCAUAUUGUGAUCACGCUGUGGGUCACUUGACAUUUUUCAGAGUCCAGUAAUAUUUUUUGAUAGUAGUAAUAGAGAUUCACAAAAUCAUGUAUAAACUUUCAUCAGUGCAGAAGCAUAUCUCAUUAUGCUCAAUAGAGAACUGGUUGAGUUAAACUUUGCCCCAAGGAAAGCAAAGAAAAUUAGAAAAAAUUGGGUAGAAAUGUUGAGCUUUUCAUAUCUUAUAAUGCUUGGCCUGUAACUAAAACGAAACUUGAGUUUAUUAAACUUUUUCCAUGCAUGACAAAUGUAUUUCUUCAAUUCAUCAUACUAAAUAUACUUAUUUCUAAAAAGGCCCAGAUAGGGGCACCUGGCUGGCUCAUUCAGAAGAGCAUGUGACUCUUGAUCUCAAGGUCGUGGGUUUGAGCCCCACACUGGGUGUAGAGAUUACUUAAAUAAAUAACACUUAAAAUAAUAAUAAUAAAACAAGUUAAAACACCCAAGUAUAUCAAAGAUGAAGCUUGAUUAGCUGUAUUAUAUAAGGUCAAGGUAUAUGUCCUAAAGAUUUUGAGAGGAUUGAAUCUCAUCAAAUCUGUUACUAUGAGGAUGUCUUCUCUUAUGCUUAAACAAAUGGAAUCUAAAACUCUUUGAAUUACUUUUUUAUUCACAAUAAUAGAGAGCUGCUUUUCAACUUGAGCUCAAUUAUUCCUGCUUCCAAGGUCGAGGCAUAAAGAAUCGUCUAAGUAUGUUUUUGACUUAGCGAUACAGUAAUGUCAGCUGGUCAAGAAAAAGUCUUGAACAUUUUAUUUAACUUUGAUGAGCCUGUAUUUAUUUCAUUCCCUGUAAAAUCUGAAUUAAUAGUACCUUCCUCAAAUGGUUCUUGUGUAGAGGGGCGGAUAGGAUCAUGAAUGUGGGAACCCUUAGCACUCAUUUAAGGCCGUUGUAAACAUUUUUCAAAAAUGUACACUAACUCUUGUUAGCAUCAGAAAUUAGCAUAGGAGAUUCAGAUACUUAAGUGUCUCCUCAUCUGCUUAAGAUGUGCACAUCAUCAAAAGUUUUAUGACACUAGUCUCAGAUGGUGGGAACUUCAGGAUUAAAAAUGGUAAAUGCUUAACAGUUGAUGCUGGGAGACAAACCUUGUUUGUAGUCUUUGCCGGUGUUUGUGAUGGGAGUGCUGUCCUCGUGGCCGGUUUCAGACCGCCAGCCUCACGCCUGAAUGCCGGCCUCACUUUGCUGAGCGGAGUGAGCUCUGGCACAGCGCUGGGCACGCCACUUCGUGACCAGCUGCUGACUCAACGUAUCUGUAGUUGUGGAAUGGGUGCAUGAAGUUUGACGCGUCGCACUUCUGUUCAUUACUCACGGACUGUGUUUUCCAUCAGUGAGGUUAAUGGAUUAUAUUUCCUUUGACAUCGUUUCCCUUCAGCUCUGCAGUUUCAAAUGUUUCUUCGAAUCGUACCUUUGAGGUUGCAACUGACUCACAAUCUGUGUUUGCCCUGCCCCAGAAUAGCACUCUGGGUGUGUUCAGCCUCAUCGGUUCCUUACAGUCAGCGUCCUGUGUUGCACACGUGCAAUGCUUUUGCUUCUACACCAGAAUCAGAUUUCAACUCCGGGAGAUGGUUGGUUCAGUCAGUGUAGUCAACGACUGUUAAUUGUACAGAACUACAAGCAAGGCACAUGCUAGGAGCUUGGCAUUUAGCAACGAGCAGGUAACGUCCUCAUCUGUAAAUAUGGGUGGUGAAAGUACCUUGUACUUCCUCGUGCUGCCGUGAUGAUUAAAAAUGAGACGUCAAAGCAAUAAUUAAACCAGACAUAUUUACAGAUUGUGAAAAGCGCAAAGCUGGGAAGAAAGGCUUACGACGAGACGUUGUAACAGAGACCCCCGAUGGAGAUUGAGUGUCGGGGGAAAUGUCUCCAGAGCAGUGACAUUGAUACUGAUCCAGAAUGACAAGUGUGAUUUGGCUAGGUGACAAAUAGGGGAAGCGCGUUGAGUGGAGGACCCACACGCGCAGAGCCCGAAGGUGGAAGGAACUUGCCCACGCUUGGAACGGAGCGACAUCUCUGUCGCUGGGAGUUUUCGUGUGUCAUCCUCAAAAUAAAACGUGGCGGGUGACGGAUGGGCCCUGGCGGUGACAGAGCACUGCUGUGUCCCGUGUGUCACUGGUUUUCAUCCAGUCCUAAGUUGGUCUGUAAAAUGUCCCUGAUGGGACCGGGAAGUAAAGUACAAAGGUCCAGCUGGGAGCAGAAGUUUGUAGGAAGUACGACAUCAACUAAGUAUACUCUUGUAAGGAGUGAAAACGAGAGAAAAAACGGAGAUUGGAAGACUUUAGAGUUUGGAUGAGUGUUUUGAGCAGAUUUGAAUCCCGUACAAUACCUUCUAGUGUUCCUGGGUAGCACUAAGAAUCCCUGAGGUGCCCAAUGGCUUGGGGCGCCGUCCUCCACGAUUACCGCCUUGAACUAUUCCCUCCCUAACUGGAUUACAAUGCUGCUGCUUCUAGAAAAUCUCACAUUAGAUUCCUUCCUGGUUAUACUUAUCAUUUAAUACUCAGUCCAAGGUGAAGAUAGUAUGAAGAUAGGUUGGUUUGAAUCACCAAGUAAAAUGGAAGAAUUUAAAAUGCAAUUAAAUUGUGGUAAAAAUCUUAUACUAUUUCUUUACUUCCAUAAAGACGCUGAUACUCUCAGUGACCACAUUAUAUCCUCUUCCGUAUUUCCUGGAGCAGCUAACACAAACAAUAAUGAGUACCAAUGAUGUUUGUCAAAUAAAGGAUUGAGUGAAGGAGAGGCUAACAUACCUGGCCAAAUAAUUUUUGAGUGGAAAUCAAACAUACAGAAUAUAUUUAAUUUCUGUUGUAGAGAAUUUAAAAGCUGAUACUAAUUUCUGAUAUAUAUGUCAUGCAUUCCAUAACUUGAUUGCCCAUAAUUGUCAAAAAUGUGGCGUGUAAAAAGGAAGAGAAAAAUAAUCUUAAGCUAAUAGUGCUACAUUGCUUUAAAGCAUUAAAGUCAUUUGUGUCUGUAGCAUUGUUGAGAUGUGGUAUAGUUUGGAUUCACAUAGAAUGAAACGGACAACAAAGACAAUUACUGCGAAGAAGCAACCUUCAAAUGUCAUCGUCUGCCACAUGUUCCUUGUUGAUAGAAGGAAGAAAUGUUUCUGCAUAGAUAUAAUUUGGGGUAGCCUUAAAAAAUAGUCUUCUAUAUUAAAAAUUGCAUAUUAAAGUGGGUGAUGGGCAUUGGGGAAGGCACUUGUUGGGAUGAGCUCUGGGUGUUGUAUGAAAACCAGUUUGACAAUAAAUUAUAUUUGAAAAAGUUGUGUAUUAACCAUUGACCUAUAAUUGCAAAAUACAGUACUAUGUAAUACAAAUCUUAGGAGUAAUCCCUAGGAAAUACUUGUAAUUAAGAGGAAAAAUGCAGUUGACAGAUUAUAAAUCCAUAAUAUGCCUUAUGUAAUACCUACGUUAAAAAGAAUACACAUUUGUUAUUAAAUAUAAAUGUCCCUAAUCCUUA